rnacentral:rRNA from 1 species
CCGCACAAGCGGUGGAGCAUGUGGUUUAAUUCGAUGCAACGCGACGAACUUUACAUGGCCUCGACAUGUCUGGAAUCCUGUAGAGAUACGGGAGUGCCUUCGGGAAUCAGAACACAGGUGCUGCAUGGCAUUCGUCAGCUCGUGUCGUGAGAUGUUGGGUUAAGUCCCGCAACGAGCGCAACCCCUGUCCUUUGUUGCCAGCACGUAAUGGUGGGAACUCAAGGGAGACUGCCGGUGAUAAACCGGAGGAAGGUGGGGAUGAUGUCAAGUC